CGGGGGUGAACAAUUUACAAAAUAAAACAGGAAACCCAAAGAUAGAAAAAGACAAGACAAAACAACAACACAGACAGAUCGUGACAGUUUCUUCACAACAUGCAAAGUGGCCUUGGGUCCCUUGAAAGGGGCGGACUGGGACUACAAAUCAGCCCGGCACUCUCGACCGGCCCACUUCGGUACCGCCGGCCCACCUCGGUACCACAAGUAAGGGGGUGCUAGUGACUUCUCCGACCGGCCCACUUCAGUACCGGCCCAUCGGCAUUCGUCCCGAACGUCUCGAUGGCCAGUCCGCCCCUGUGUCUGUGUUUAUUAUAUCCAACCUAUGUUCUGGGACCAUUUAGUAAUUAGGGGAGACUCGUUUUAGGGUAUUUGAUAAAGCGAGCCGAGUCGUUCCGACGUGAUCUGAAUUGAAUAAAGAUGUGUGCUGACAGGCGGACAGGAGCAGAUGUGGAGAUCUGGGCUUAUGUUCCAGCUCUUUAUCCCAUCAUCAGUCUGUCAGAGGAGGAGUGGCAGCGGAGAGUAAAGUGUUGGAGCCACAUUAAUCUUCAUCAAUCAUUACGACCUCCAUCAGCGG